AUCUCAUGAUGAGGACACUUACGAAGUAACUCCUUGAAUCGCUCCCAAACCUCAUACAAAGACUCGUCCACAAUUGUUGGAAAGUUGUGAUUUUGUUCCUCAACUU
rfam:Gossypium raimondii chromosome 3, whole genome shotgun sequence.